rnacentral:miRNA from 16 species
GGCUGUGCUGACAAACUGCCAUU